rnacentral:lncRNA from 1 species
UUUGAAGUCCUGAACAACCUAAGUGUUUACAGACUUAUCACCUAAUCUCUAAUUAUGGACUUUUCUAUCUAGGGUAUACCUAGAUAUGAGACCCCUCUCACUUUCCACAACCACACAUAACACACAACAGAAAAACACAAUCCUCUCUUGCUUAAAAGCUUCUGAGGGAUUUUAAAUUACAACUCAAUAUACCAGGUCCAAUUCAAGUAUCAAUGUGAUACUCGAAUGGCUCACA